ensembl:lncRNA
UGCAGCUGUGGUCUGGAGUCCGAAACAAGAAGAGUCUCAUUUAUCAUCCUGCUAAAUAAACUUAAAUAUGUGUACCUAUAAUAUUUUACCAAAUGGGAUUGUAUUGUUUGACAACCUGCUUUUUCUUCCUUAACGUAAAGUGGCCCAUUGCACUAAAUGUGCUUUGAAAUGUUACUUGAAUACUUGUGAGAGGGAGACAAAGACGCUCUCCAGCAUCAGUGACAUGUGGGCUGCAUCCAAAAGGCUGAGUCACAGCCCUCCAGGGAGAGAAAAAGGGAGACCUUGUACUGAAAGAUGUGGAAGCAAGAAAGAACAUUCACUGUUGUGGGAAGCGGAAGGAGGGGAGGAGACAUCUGUCCAUCCUGUGAAAUUCAAGGUCUUGCAAUAGGAAGGGGAUUGCCUCAUGAGGAAAAGAAAUCUCAUGGAGUAGAAGAAACCAGAGAGGCCACGGUAUCAGAGUGUGACAGUCAAAGGACACAAAAGAAAAAGUUAUUUAAACCAGCAACCAGCCUUAAGAGGAAACUGAGGAGGAAGGUGAGCAUCUGAUGUGAUUUCAGGAGUGUCAGGAAAGAUGCCCGGGCCGUGGAGUGACUUUGUCAGAACCGUGUGGGUGUGCUGCCCCGGGGUCCGUCCUGUGCCCGGCCGUCAUUCACGUGUCCGUUCACUCUUUCAGCAGCGAAUGUGGAACACCCUUUCUGUCCUGCCAUACCCUGGGUGCUGGGAUACAACGACAAGAGAAGAACAAGCAUCAGAACAUGUGUGUGCAACCAAAGACCAUCGCAGCCCCAGACCAUCUGCGCAAGAAGAGCCUGGGCAAGUGCUGGUUGAAGAGGGACGUCUUGAAGGCACGUUUGCACAAAUCACUCUUAAUUGGAUGGCUUACAAAGAGCCACAUCAGCCAUGCUAGAGUUAAGUCAGGAGAUCUGCAGACUGGCAGAACAGGGGACUCUGGAAGAACCAGGCGUGAGCAGAGCAGUGUGGAGUCCUGACUGGUCAUUAAUCCAGCUUUGGUCAAGAGAGAACACUGCUCCCAGAGGGUUGUGGAACAGCGCGCGUAUGUCACACCAUGCAGGUAGCAGUUUAUCUGUCCUAAGUAAACAUCUGACAACAAGCAGUUUGAAGUAUUUGAAAAUGAGAUUCUCCAAAAUAAGUCCUUCAUUUGAAUAAGCUGAAACGACACCCACAUCUAGCCACCGGUUUUACACAAACCGCUCCUGAACAGCUGAUGCGGGCAUGUGCACACCUGUGAUCCUGCGCCCUGAUCUCUCACAUCGCCAGGGUUCUCACGUGUGUUAGAUGUUUGAGUGUUCAAGGUCCUGGCAGGACUCUCUGUAGAGUAGAGCUGCUCUUGCUUCUGUUUGGGGCAACACUGAUCCCUAUAAUCUUGACUCCUCCCUUCCCACCUCCUCCAGACCUUGUAUGAUCAAUUGCCCCUGGUGUCCUAAAUCCUCAACCAACCUCUUCUUCUCUUCCCUCCCCCUCAGUCCAUAACAAUGCCUAAAUAGAAACUAUCCCCUUCCUCUGAAUUCUCCCACCGCUUACCAUCUCAUCCCUCUCCUCUUCAUAUACAACUUAUUUGAAAGAGUAUACUAUUUUUGCUAUUUAUAUAGCCUCAUUUCCAUUAAAUCUUCACCUCACUACAGUUUAUCUCCCAUCUUGCAUGAAGCAACAGAAACUGACUAACAUAAGCAAAAAACAAAAAAGUAUUUAGUUUUUCGACGUAUGGCAGAGAUCCAUCCUCACCUCCUUGGAGAGCCUAGAAAGUUAAAAACAACAUCUCCCAGACUCUCUUGCAGCUAUGGUCUGUAUGCAAACCAGGUUCUGCCAAUCAAUACAGUCAUAAAAGUGUUGGAAGACAAAUAUGGACAGAGGUAUCGUCCUGUUGCUGCUUCUGCUAACAAGUAAGCUCAUGAACACAUGAAUGUCAAAAAGCAGGUGAGGGACAAUGAUGGCCAGACUCAGUGCUAGUCAAUACCUUAUGGGUGUCCAGAAAGUUUCAAUGGUGACAGAGGGGGUGGCUUCCUGAUCCCCACCCCUGAUCUCUGAACAGCAUCUAUGAUGAUGAGCUCUGAACUUCACAGUGUCAGUGGUUGUCUCCUGAUUUGUGCUACUCUAGCAUUUCCAACCAUUUUUACAGCACCCAUUUCCUAUAUAAAAUCCUUCAGGUUUAAAAUACCUAGGGUGUUUUCUCUCUCCUUUACUGAGCCCUGACCCAUAGAGUUUGUGAAACUGCAAGUGAUCUUAGACAACAGACUCUCAACAAUAAGGACUUGGGGGUGGUUACCUGAUUCGGUUGGAUUUGAAAGCAGAGGUGACUCAGUUCCCACUGAAAAAUGAGAGCUGACAGUCUGUGGCUCAGUUGCAAAUACAGUUACUUAAAUUAUCACAUUUUUCAAGGACUUAAAUUAAAUGCCUACCGGAGGCAAGCCUCCUGGUGGGUGAGUAUUGUAGGAAUGGGGCAGACAAGGACGGUGGGGCAGGCUGAAUGCUUCUGAAGCCCUGAAAAGCUUUUCUUCAAGCUAUAAACUCAGGUCUUUACAUUUCUUUAAAUUCUAAACUCUAGGCAAAAUUAAAGGAUUGGGGAGUUUCUAUAACUGCCAUCAAUCUCUAAUCUCUUAAAACCAAUGGGAUGACAUGUCCAAAAGCUAGAUGCCAAGGCUGACCAUGUGAUUUUUGAGUUAGAAAUUAAAUUGAAUUCACAGCCUCCCCAGGUCUUUCAUGGUCAAGAUAGACCUUGAUUAGAAAAGAAUGCAACCCUGAGAACUGAGAUGAGAACGUUUGGGUAAACUCAGAUGAGUACGAGUCCGUGGAGUCUGCAAGAUCCACUAGGCUCACUUGCCAGAAGCAGUAGUCCUCUCCCAUCUGAUAAAGCUGGCUCUGCCUUGGGUGGACGCCUUGCAAGGGCCUUCCCUGAGGUAUCCACCUUCAAGAGGAUGCCCUGAGCCUCAUGUUCCACCAUAGCAGUUUUCAUUGUCUGUAGACCGAAUUAAAAAAGUCAAAUUCCAUUAUGUCUCAGGGAGACAAGCAAAGAGAGUUUACUAUUUAAAGAUUUGUAACUCCCUGCUUAUUGCUAUCUGUAGGAGCCCAGGGAGUAUGUGUGAUAAUGGAUUCAGGUGGGGGAAGGGCUAGACCAAUGAGAAGUAAGUAUCAACAUGUGUGCAUUGACCAGCUGCCCUGGUGGUCUAGUGGUUAAGAUUUGGCACUCUCACUGCCACAGCCCAGGUCCCUGUCCCCAUCGUGGAACCACACUGUCAGUUGUCACACUGAGGCAGCUGCGUGUUGCUGCGAUGCUGAAAGCUCUGCCACUGGUAUUUCAAAUACCAGCAGGGUCACCCAUGGUAGACAGGUUUCAGCGGAGCUUCCAGACUAAGAGAGACUAGGAAGGAGGACCUAGUCACUCGCUUCUGGAAAAAUUGGCCACAAAAACUCUAUGAAUAGCAGCAGAACAUUGUUCUAAUACAGCACCAGAGGGUGAGAGGAUGGCUCAGAAAGAUGGGUAGGGUUCUGCUCUGCUGUCCACAGGGUCACUGACUGCAUGGCAUUUACUAGAGCUUUUUAAUUCAGUGAUCUAAUUCAAGAGAAGCCUUCUGCUUGCCAAUUGAUAACUGAAAACUACACCUACUCCAAGCGAGAUUGAAAUGAAGAGAUUCCUUGAUAUAAUACAGAGGGGAAAAAACAGAGACUCGGGAGAUAAUAAUGUUGAAAUGGGAUUAUUAUGUAUAGCCUGUUCAUUCACCAUCUGUGUUUGCCAAGAGGCCUCAAGAAUGCUCCCUUCACUAAGACACAAAGACAUACAUCUGAGGCCGAAGCACCAUUAUCCUCUAAAACACUGUCGCUUCUGCCCUGUGUAGGAGAUGCUGCUAGUGAAAUGGGCUUUCUGAGUUCAGUGAUGACAGGAAUCUGGAGCGGCAGAGGCCACACAGUCGCAAUCCCUGGUUACCACAUGAGCAGCAGGAAUACAGUGAUAAUCAGAAUGGUGUGACCUGUAAGAAUGAGAUUAUUUAUCACGGGAUUCCUAGGAGUGAAGCAGAUGGGCAGCCGAAAAGUAAAGAAGAAAAAAAUCUGGAGAAUGAGGGGCUGAUUUGAGUUGCCUCAGCGGAAAGUCAGAUUCCCAGAAACUUUGCAUGUGAGCCCACUGAACAAAGAAGCCAGGUACCCAGGAGGAGGGCCCCGUGGCACUGUCCCAAGUGUGAACUGUAAGCUUCCUCUUUGUCUCCUUAAGGAAACUAAGGCCAUUUGCCAAAGUAAUGUGCACUGAGAAAACUUUACCCAGACUUUUGGGAUAUCCCUGGACACUGGUUCUUAGCUAGUAUUAAUCCUUAGGGACACAAAAGAUAUCUGAGAUCCACUACUACGAGUAAGAACUUAGGAGGAUUGAGUGACACAUGCUGUUUGGCCGGAACCCAUCUUGCAAAUAGGCCAAGAAAGUCCAUGAACCCAUUCUGUGGUUAUUUUCCCUUUCCAGAAGACAAAGUUGUAAUGACACUUGGCAAGCGGUGGGUUACUUUAUCAUGAAAGGAAGAGACAAGUGAAGUGAAGCAAACAGUGAAUCAAAAACAAUAUCACGCACGUCCCUGAGGGAAUUGCAUAUUAAUAUCACCAUCAAAGACUUGAGAGGGGACGAUAGUGGCAGCAUAAUUUUGGGUCUCAUCAAAUCCCCACACGAAAAUACACAUAAAAACUGACUUAAGAACAAAUAUGACCAAUAUUUCCAACAGAACUAGAUGGUAAGUUAUCCCCACAAACCCCGUAAUACCAGUGAGCGGGGAAGAACCCCAGCAGGAACGAGAGCUGCACGUCAUCUGUGUCUGUGCUGGAGAAAUCAGGGAAGACAGCAACGCAACUGCUGAACUGAAAAUCCCUCCAGAAGGCAACACACCCUGACCAACAGUGCAGCAGGCCAUCGGAGAAAACAGCGGAAACUCCACAAGUGCGUGAGUGUCGGGGCGAGGGGUAAGGCCUAACGGGCUGGAGCCGUCCAACCCCGCUGAACUCUUAAGACAGACCCGGCCAGGCUCCCUCCCAUGGCAGAACCCCACAGGAGAAACUGUGGGGAUAGAAAUAAACUUGAGCAGGACAGGAGCCACAGAGCAAAUGGAAAAGAAGUUCUCGAUCAAAGUGUGGGAGGGCCUAGAGCCAGAAAUCAGAAAACAAGCCGCCGUGUCCCUUAACAUUAUAUGAAAAUGACACAAGAGGCAGCUCUGAAAAGUUAGGAAAUCUGUCUGAAAUAAGCUCCUUUUAAAAGUUCAAGAAAACCAAAUUCACAUUAAAAUGAGCAGCAAACACAAAGUGUCAAGAUCAAAUCCCACAAAAGUUUACUAUUUAAAAAACAGGAAAAGGAGCAGUGGCAUCUCUCUACAGACAAUGAAGCAUGCCAGAAGGACACUCAGAGACAGACCAGACUGUAACACACUGUCUCAAAUGAUCUGGAGGAUAAUAUGAUAGACAGAAAAAUAGCAUAAAUCAGGAUGGGGAAAACUCAGGAGUGAGGUGACAGAACUCAAGGAAGAAUUACCAAUACAAGGAAAAAAAUUUUCUUAAUGAAGAUUACUAUAGGAGAAAGAUAGCAAAUAAAUACAAGUAAUGCCUUAAAAAUGAGGGUAAAAAUAAGGAAAAAAAUUUAAUUCAAAAAGAAAUGAGAAACAAUAAAAAAGUGACAAAUAUUGAAGAUAGGCAAAGAAAAUCCAGCGUAUAGAUAAUAGCAGUCUCUGAAGAAACCCAAAGCAGAUGGACAGACCAAAUACUAAAAUCUUUCCAGAAACAAAAAAAUAAAAGUAUUCAAAAUUACGUAUUGAAAGAGCAUAUUGUGUGUCUGAGAAAAGAUAUCUAAACUGGUUCUGCCAUUUGCAAAGUUAUUGUCUCUCUUUGAUGAUAAAUUAUCUCUGUUCUCAUUAUUGUCUCCUGACUGGACACUGAUACAGGAAUUGGUACCAAGUGGUCCCAGGAAACCUCAGAGACCUCAAAGACUGGAUUUGAGAACUGACUUGGUCAUGUCCUUGGUCUAGAGCAAAGAGUUGAACUCUCUGCCAGUGGACAAUGGGAAGCUAGGUAGUCCAUGGCAUGCAGUGGCAUUCACGAUUAAUGAAAUUAUCAUCUGGGGUUGAUUACGAUGAAGCAUCUACAGACGCACCAAGACAUAUCCUAGUAAGAUUACUGAGGUUUAAGAGAAAAAAAAAAAACUUUCAGGCAUCUAUGCAAAAAGCACCCAUGACUUAUAAGGAAAAAAUUACGUUAUCAUCAGAUUUUUCAACAACAGCAUUUCUUAUGCUAGAAGAAAAUGGAGUAACAUACCUAAGAAGCUCAAAGGAAGAAAAUGUGAACCAAGAAUUUUAUAUACAACAAAACUGACCUACAAGUAUACAAGGUGCAGACAAACUGUUAUCAACACGCGGGAACUCAAGCAAUACUGUUCCCAUGAGCCCUUCCGAAGAAAUCGACUAGAGCUGCGCUGACCAGUAUGGUAGCCACUAGCCAUAUGUGGUUGUUUAAAUUUUAAUUUUAAUGAAUUAAAUGAAGUAAAAUUAAAAAUUCAGUUCUUCAAUCAAACUAGCUACAUCUGACAUGCUCAAGAACUCAAUGUGCUAGUGGCUAUCACAUCGGAUAGUACAAAUAUAGAAUACUUUCUAUCAUCAUAGAAGAUUUUGUGGGAUAGCAUUGUCUUAGCCAAUGAGCUUCAGACAAUCCCAAUGACUGGAAAUCUCUGACAUAAAGACUGGGGAUGGGUAUUAAAUAUAUACUUAAUUGAAUAACUGAGGACAAAUGAGGACUAAAACGAAGAGAUUGUAGCAACAGCUGCAUAAUUUGACAAUCAAGAUAGAGUAAAACCAUUAAAAAUGGGGGAGAUGGAAAUAGCAUAUGUAAAAGAAAGGUAUUUUUAAAUUAUAUUUUCAGUAGUCAUAACUGAUGGUGUAGCAUUAGGAUUGCUAUUCUGAGGCUAUCGUAUGUGUAUGUGGGACAAAGCAAAUGAGUAACUAUGUAAUAUUCCGACUCCAUCACGUCUUGAGAGCCAGGAAUCUCAGUGUGGAAGAAAGGAGAUCCGGAUGUGUUACAGAGGAGGUUAAGUAAAAAAGCCUAUAGCCUGAAUUUAAAUUGGAAAUAUCUGUUUGAACUAGAAUCCAUGACAGACCCAGUAGGACCGAGCAUCCCUGGAGCCCAGAUUGUGGUUUGGAAUGCUGUUUCUCAUGAAAAGAAACCAGGGAUUUGGGGAGAAAUGGCUGGUUCCAGGUCUGGGGCAGGAUACGUACAAGAUGCGCCUGGAACAUCUUGACACACCGGGUAGCAAGGAAGCCAUCAAAGGUCACUGGUGUCACGUCAAAAAGAUUCAGGAGCCAACCUGGAGAGGGUCCUAUGAGCCAAAGAUGGGACAAUUUCAGCUUCUACCAAAACUGUAAUAAAUGGGAACUCGUCAAAUAUGUUUAAACCCAUAAGUUUAUAACAAUAUUAAAAGAAAAGGCAACCAAUUGGUCACUUUCUGAGGACCCAAUCCACUUCCUCGAGAACUAACUGAACUACAGAAUCAAGCAUUUGUCUUGCCUAUUCUAUAGGAACUGGCUAACCAUAACAGACAAGGGGAAGUGCCCCUUUAUAAAGUUACCCCAGCUAAUAUGGAAACAAAAUGAUGGCAUAUCACCAUGUGAAACCUCCAGUAAGUAAACGUGUCUAGACCUCGAACAUCACCAGCUGUUAAAAUCACAGAAAGAGUGGAAAUCAGACGGAUCGUGUCUUCUAAUGAAAGAACACAACGUCACCUAUAGUAUCGUCAAAGGAGCUGACCCUGAGUCCAAUCAGGCCUCUGGAUCCAGCUUCCAAUCCUCAAGGAACACAAGGGAAAGGGGCACCUUGAAACGCUCCGGCUACAGCAGCUCUGGCUCUCUGUCAAAAUUUAGUCAACAAGACAUUGAUCGCCUCACCAUCCCACAGGACAUCGUGGAAGUUUAGUACCUUGAUGACGUCGUUUUCUUAAGACGUAGUAAAUAAGAAGCAGCCGCCAUAAUCCUAGACUUCUUGAUAUUGUGCAUGAAAGGGUGUGAGAUAAACCGCACAAAAAUUCAGGGCUCCGCCGACUGAGUACAGAGAGGCUUAGAAGGCCUUUCAGGGUUUUGGAGGCAACUCAUACCACAUUUGCAUAAACUACUGGACUUGUUUACCAAUAACACCGAAGGAGUAUCCACUUUGAUUACAUCCCAGAGCAAGUGACGAUUCUCCAGCUGGUCCAAGAUGCAGAGCAAGCAACCUGGUCAUUCGAUCUAGCAGAAUCGUGGUGCUCAAAGCGUGUAUGACUGAGGAGGAUAUUGGACAGACAGCUCCAGUAGCAGAAUCAGAAUACAAGCCUCUAGGGUUUGGAGCAAAGCCAUGCACUCUCCCACAAAUACGUAAUCUCUUUUUGAGAAACAGUUCCUGGCUGGUAGAGACUGAAUGCUUGGCCAUGAGAUACCAAGGGACCACGUGACCUGAGCUGUCCCUUAUCAGUUGUGUAUUAUCUAACCCACAAAGCCAAAAAAUUGGGCACGCCCAGCAACACUCCAAAAUCAAGCGGAAGUGUUAAAUAGGAGACCGUGCUCAAGCAGGUGGUAACGGCCGUGGUGAGCCACAUGGGCAGGCCAUGCUCGCUCCCAAUGCACUGACCCCAGAAGUACCGCCACCUCGUCUUCAGCUCAUCCUAAUAGCUUUGCUGGGGAGUUGCAGAUGAAAAGUGACUUGAGGAAGCAGAAAGAUCUGCAGAAGUAUGCACCAACUGAAAGUGGACCGCGGGAGCAUGUGCCCUACUUAGGAGUGACCCAGAAGGACAGUGAGGAAGGGUAAUUCUUUCAGAGGCAGAACCUCAAGCAGUACAUGUGGUUGUCCCCUUUGCCUGGAAGGAAACACAAGAGCUACAGAUCUGUAGUAAUUUGUGAAUAGUGCUGAAUGGCUUAGCUAGAGAGUCCUAGGCUUGUGAGGAAAAAGAUGGGAGGGUUGGUAACCAGGAUGAACGGGAAAGAGUUGUAAGGAUGGACCUCAUAGAGUGGCCCAGGGUGAGAAUAUUUGUGUCCUGUGUGAAUGCUCAUCAGACAGCACCCACUGCAGAGGAGCCUGCCCAUAACAGUGGGAAGGGUGAUCUGGCCUGUGAGCGUCAGUCAGCAUCUCUCCUCGCAAGGCCCGAGCUUGCUCAGUGUGUUCAUGGAUACGGUGUAGUGGCCAUAGCAGCAAAGAUGGCUGUUGGGUCCGGUUCAACAACAGAAAGAUUUUUCUCCUCGUCAUGUUGGAUCUGGAUGGCAUUGCUGCUGGGUGCUCACCCUUCAACAACAGAAACCCAAGCUUAGCCCCUAUGACACCAUACCCUGGGGAGAUCAGAUAGCCACCUGGAGGCAGAUUAAUUGGACCACUUCCAUAAUGGAGGGGGCAGCAAUUUGUCCUCACUGGGACAGAAAUUUGUCCCCGCUUGCAGGAAGGUGUCAUCCCCUCAGCUCCCCUAAGAGGAAUAAUCAGAUAGUGACGUACAGGGGAGAGACUAGAGAUGGGGAGAUCGAGUACAAAGUACCACAGAAACCAGAAGCUCCUCAGUCAGGUUACACCCUCCGUGUGCUCCCACAACCCCUGUAGUGACUGUGCUGCAGGACUUCUCAGGCUCUGUUAUAAUAAAACCCCACAGGAGCAGCCCAGGGUCUGUGCCGCCCCAUCUAAUCUCCAGAACGGAGCCCCGUGCCUGGGACAUCGUACAGCUCAGUAGAUACGUGUCAAAUGUUUGUUGAAUGUCUUCUACAUUUUAGUAUUUAUCAUAAUCCUUUAAAAAUAUUUUGGUCAAGGUAGAUGCUUAACAAACAUUUAUUAAGUGAAAAAAAUUAUGAUCAACUAGAUUAGAAGUCAGCAAACUACAGCCUGUGGGCCACAUCUCACUGGCCACCUGAUCUUGUGUGGCCCAUGAACGAAGAAUGGUUUUUACAUUCUUAAAAAUGUAAGAAAAGAAUAAUAUUUCAUGACACUGAAAAAUGCAAUAAAUCCAAAUUUCAGUGUCUAUAAAUAAAGUUUUAUUGGGACACAGCUCCAUUUACACGUUGCCUGCAGUGUUUUGCUUGACAACAGCAGAGUUGAGUAGUUGUGACAGAGAAUGCGUGGCUUGCAAAGCUAAGAAUAUUUACUCUCUGGCCCCUGCAGAAAAAGUGUGCCGAUCCCUGGAGCAGGUCUUCCAAAGCACAGAAGACAACGAUCUUUAAGACAAGAGCGCUGCCUCCUUCCUUUGCAGACCACCACCUCAUCACUUCAAUUUCCUCUAAAGAAAACAAACUGUUUUUCUCAUAUUUCAUGGCUUUGAGGUUUAUUCCAAGCCUUGCCAGUGGCCUCAGGCUCCUCGUUGCCUUAUUUGAAACAAGAGAUAUAGAGCAGCCGAGACAGAUGACGAUGUGGAGAGGGAAGGAGGCGAGACGGGGCCCACGCUCAGACUCCCUAAAUCCACGAGGGAAACUUCCUUCUGUUGGCACCAGUUCAAAACGAUGCGAUGUGGCCUUUUCUAAAGCUUCGCACUAUUUUUAUUGCAG